GGUUGUGUUUUUCCCCUGGGGCUUUUAUUUUAUUAAAUGAAAAGCGCACAACUCGCCUCUUCCUUUUACCUGCACCCUGACAAUAUACACACAAUUUUUUUUAAUGAAAAAAUACUGUAAUAUUUUAAUUAACAAAAAAGAAUGAGAAAUAAAAAAAACAGUUAUUGUUAUCCGCAAAGCCUGAAUCCAGGUGUCAUUUGGUAUAAUUAUCUCCUCAACAAUCUCAAAGUCAAACACACAAACAGCCUCUUUUCCUUCCACAGUGAGGUCAUUUUCUCCAUACGUCUCUCUCUAAAGCAGAUCACAUUUCUCUCUCCCUCCCCCACACUGCUGUUGGUAGCAUGUUGACACUUAUUAAAGCUGAGAGAGGCGGCGUGUGGUUGAGUCCGGUUUGAAUGGAGAGACAAGGUGAGAGGAGACACACCUGAAUGAGGCCAGAGAACUUCGCACAGGGGCCAGGGGCAGCGCAAAAGGGCCACGAGAAGGCCAAAGCCAGACAAAUAAAAGGAACGGUAAUGGCGAUCGAGAGCAGCCUAGGAAAACAGAGAUCUCGCAGCUGAACAGCACACGACAAGUCUCACAGCAGAAGCUAAGGAAGAUGACAUCCAUUUGUGCUCCAGUCGAUGGCAGAAUGCUAACAACAUGCUAAUGCAGUCAACAGUCCUGCACACAGUGGCACAGAGAGUACAGCUCGGCCCUGAGGGGGAAAACUCGCUGUGACAAACGCCAAACGGAAGGCUGCAUUCAGAUGGAGUGUAUUCAUUACCACACGCCGAGAUGUGUAGGAGACAGCGAGGAGGGUUUGAGUUACCAUGUCCGUAUCUCACCAUCUCAUUUCCAACAUGACCCAAAUUAAAGCGGGAAUGCUAGGUGACCUAUUGCUACGGGCGACAUCUUCUCGUACGUAACCUUCAAACCAGUCAAACAUCUGAUUUGAUGGUUAUAAACUAGCCAAUACAAUCUUGUCACUGUUUCUUUGACUCCUUCUAAAAAUAACAUGAAUACAUGGCCAAACCAAGGGCAUUCCAAUUACAGAAUAUCCUCAAGUUUAUCGCUUGGCACGCACAAUGUCGUAAGUGGGUUGGAUAUAAACAAACGAACAUUUGUUUUACCGAAAGCAAGAUGUUUUCCUCAAGCCAACUUUUUAAAACGCCACAGAGAUAAUUAACAGGACAAAGCUCUGCCAAAUCUUACACGAAUGACCUUUGUGUGGGCAACAUGGUCCUGAGUUUGAGAAUCUGGCAGCGUUCGGUUUGCCGCUCACAUGGCGGCUUGAGCGGCUGAAUCUCUGAAGGACGUCGGCUUAAAGACAGCGAACAAACGGCUUACAAAUUGACGCUAAUUAAAGGUUGCUUUGUCAGGUUUCAGCUAGUGUUUAAACAUCUUUUAUUAAGUUGCACGUACAAAUACGCUUCAAAAGUGAGGGAAACUUCAAUACUGAUUGGUUUCUGUUAUUUGAAGGGGAAAUACUUCAAUUGUGCUGGUAGUAGCGGGAUGCUUGGAUGUCUGUGAUGUGAUUCCAUUUAAUUAAAUAGCUGUAGAUAAUUUGGUCUGGGAAUGUCAUUAUGCCCUUGCAACGAAGGACAUGUUUUCCCUCUCAUGCUCAUUUUCCUAAUGCACAGGCUUUUAUAUAAGUACAUCUCAGGCUUGUAACGAAUUAAUAUGGCAAUGAAGGAUUGGGGAUGGAAGUGUAAUUGGACAACCAAUCUCCCUUGACGCUUAAUGGCCUCUGAAGACAGCGGCUGCAGGGCAAGGGAUGAGAUAGCUUGGAGGAGAGCUUCUCGGCAGGCUUGUGAAGGCCUGGCGCAUAAAGAACUGACCGUUUGAGAACUCGCAGAACAAUCAGAAAUGUAAUUAAGAGCUGGCUGUGGCUUUUAAACACUCAGAUAGAGUGGAAACAAACAGACGGGGGGAAAAGAAACAUCCAUGUAUUGAAAAUGUGCGGUGUGAUCAAUAGCCUAAGGUUCGGAAAGCAUCAAAGGGGGAAUGUUUUGUGACUUCACUCGGCACCUCGCAAUUUCUCUCAGAACUGCAGGGUUUCAAAGCAAUCUCUAAUGUCAUUAAACUUCUAUUACAAAGCAGUUAGAAGUGUAUAUUGCCUCUAUUUCUCUACAAGUCAGACAUAUACAUUUUAAGUAACAUUUUACGAGUUUCCGAUCUCUUGGUAAAGAGUAAGGUUAAUCAAAACAUCAAUCAAACAUAAUUACCAAGCAGUGCCGCAUGGACAGUGUUUCAAGGAGAUAAUAACUAUUGUCUUUUUGCUGCUGUGGAAUUAAAAGCUGGAUUUUCAUCUCAAAGCUGGAUUUUCAACAGAAGCCUUUUCUCAACCCCCCAGACAGAACAUCCUACGAAGCAGGUGAUUGUGCAGUUAAUGUGCAAAUCGAGCCUUGACCCAACAGGGCCGUUUCUUCAAAUGCAGUUUUUUUGCAGUUUUUGUAAACGAUUAUAAAAAUGAAUUGUGACCCUUAUUAAAAUGAUUCAAAUUAAAUAAUACUGUUGACUAAAUUGUGAUAAGAAAAAAUGCAAUAUUAACAGUGCACUAACAACCAACAAAGAUCGUGACUGUUUCAAAUUGUCCAAAUCAUAGUCAAUGUCAGGAAUUGACCCACUUGAGCUGAAGCUUAACAGUGAAACUGAAGUGAUUUACUAGCGGGUCAAUUAACUCGCUCAAACGCAGAUUAUGAGAAUAAUCAGACAUAUGGGUCAUUGAAGAAUAAGGUUUUUUAAAGUCUUUAAAAAAUAUAAUGGAGAUAUCAUUAAUGUUGAAGUGGGGUUUUUUUGUUUUG